rnacentral:misc_RNA from 1 species
ACAAAUUACAUCAACGCGUUGGGAGCUCUCCCAUAUGGUCGACCUGCAGGCGGCCGCGAAUUCACUAGUGAUUUCCUCCGCUUAUUGAUAUGCUUAAGUCCAGCGGGUAGUCCUACCUGAUUUGAGGUCAAGUUUCGAAAUAGACCCAAGACGUUCGUUGGCACUAGUAGUCAUAGGGACAUGUAGGAUUGGAAGCAAGGACGAUUCCUGCACGUCUCGACGCUCCAGCCACGACGAUCAUUAUCACGUCGAAGGCCGUGCACGUCAGACUUGCCACCCCUUUGCUAAUGCAUUUCAGGAGAGCUGACAGCUUUUCGCCGCCAGCAAACCCCCAACUCCAAGCCACGAGUCAAGACUCAUGGUUGAGAAUUCGAUGACACUCAAACAGGCAUGCUCCUCGGAAUACCAAGGAGCGCAAGGUGCGUUCAAAGAUUCGAUGAUUCACUGAAAAUCUGCAAUUCACAUUACUUAUCGCAAUUCGCUGCGUUCUUCAUCGAUGCGAGAGCCAAGAGAUCCGUUGCUGAAAGUUGUAUUCAUUUAUGGACCGCCAGCCUGCUGAACAGGUCUCGACGUUCUCGAUUACAUUCUAUAGACAUACGAUAGGUGUGAUAUGAAAAGACAUAGAUCCUCUUUCGAGGACCUACAACGGGUGCACAGGUGUGUAUGAGAGAAAGGUCGACGACGAGCAAGGAUUAGGAUUCCAGACGUGCACAUGCUUGAGCCAGCAACAGUCUCCCCCACUCGCCAUCUUCCCCCUCAGAAUUCGCUAAUGAUCCUUCCGCGGGUUCACCUACGGAAACCUUGUUACGACUUUUACUUCCAAUCGAAUUCCCGCGGCCGCCAUGGCGGCCGGGAGCAUGCGACGUCGGGCCCAAUUCGCCCUAUAGUAGUCGCGUAAUAUA